GCUUCAGUGUCGCCGCCAUCUUUGUUGAUGUGUCAGCUCCGCAGGGGUUUGGGGAAACGGCCGCUGAGUGAGGCGUCGGCUGUGUUUCUCACCGCGGUCUUUUCCUCCCACUCUUGGCUGGUUGGACCCCGCUAUGGAAAAGUUGGCCCCUGAGCCAGAGCUCCAGCAGCCUUGUUAGGGCGUGGCCUGAGGCUUGGAUAAGUGGGAGGAAAAAGUCCUGGAUUUCGAGUCAGAACAUCUGGAUUAGAAUCCUACUUCUUUCACUUGAUAAUCUUGUUACCUGUGGAAAUCAGAAGAGAGAAUAUAGUAAAAAUACGCAGUACAGUCCCAGAUGUAAAACGAAGAUCAGGAGCAGAUUUGAAGAAUUACAAAGUGAAUUGGUGCCAGUCAGCAUGUCAGAGACAGACCACAUAGCCUCUACUUCCUCUGAUAAAAAUGUUGGGAAAACACCUGAAUUAAAGGAAGACUCAUGCAACUUGUUUUCUGGCAAUGAAAGCAGCAAAUUAGAAAAUGAGUCCAAACUAUUGUCAUUAAACACUGAUAAAACUUUAUGUCAACCUAAUGAGCAUAAUAAUCGAAUUGAAGCCCAGGAAAAUUAUAUUCCAGAUCAUGGUGGAGGUGAGGAUUCUUGUGCCAAAACAGACACAGGCUCAGAAAAUUCUGAACAAAUAGCUAAUUUUCCUAGUGGAAAUUUUGCUAAACAUAUUUCAAAAACAAAUGAAACAGAACAGAAAGUAACACAAAUAUUGGUGGAAUUAAGGUCAUCUACAUUUCCAGAAUCAGCUAAUGAAAAGACUUAUUCAGAAAGCCCCUAUGAUACAGACUGCACCAAGAAAUUUAUUUCAAAAAUAAAGAGCGUUUCAGCAUCAGAGGAUUUGUUGGAAGAAAUAGAAUCUGAGCUCUUAUCUACGGAGUUUGCAGAACAUCGAGUACCAAAUGGAAUGAAUAAGGGAGAACAUGCAUUAGUUCUGUUUGAAAAGUGUGUGCAAGAUAAAUAUUUGCAGCAGGAACAUAUCAUAAAAAAGUUAAUUAAAGAAAAUAAGAAGCAUCAGGAGCUCUUCGUAGACAUUUGUUCAGAAAAAGACAAUUUAAGAGAAGAACUAAAGAAAAGAACAGAAACUGAGAAGCAGCAUAUGAACACAAUUAAACAGUUAGAAUCAAGAAUAGAAGAACUUAAUAAAGAAGUUAAAGCUUCCAGAGAUCAACUAAUAGCUCAAGACGUUACAGCUAAAAAUGCAGUUCAGCAGUUACACAAAGAGAUGGCCCAACGGAUGGAACAGGCCAACAAGAAAUGUGAAGAGGCACGCCAAGAAAAAGAAGCAAUGGUAAUGAAAUAUGUAAGAGGUGAGAAGGAAUCUUUAGAUCUUCGAAAGGAAAAAGAGACACUUGAGAAAAAACUUAGAGAUGCAAAUAAGGAACUUGAGAAAAACACUAACAAAAUUAAGCAGCUUUCUCAGGAGAAAGGACGGUUGCACCAGCUGUAUGAAACUAAGGAAGGCGAAACGACUAGACUCAUCAGAGAAAUAGACAAAUUAAAGGAAGACAUUAACUCUCACGUCAUCAAAGUAAAGUGGGCACAAAACAAAUUAAAAGCUGAAAUGGAUUCACACAAGGAAACCAAAGAUAAACUCAAAGAAACAACAACAAAAUUAACACAAGCAAAGGAAGAAGCAGAUCAGAUACGAAAAAACUGUCAGGAUAUGAUAAAAACAUAUCAGGAGUCAGAAGAAAUUAAAUCAAAUGAGCUUGAUGCAAAGCUUAGAGUCACAAAAGGAGAACUUGAAAAACAAAUGCAAGAAAAAUCUGACCAGCUAGAGAUGCAUCAUGCCAAAAUAAAGGAACUAGAAGAUCUGAAGAGAACAUUUAAGGAGGGUAUGGAUGAGUUAAGAACACUGAGAACAAAGGUGAAAUGUCUAGAAGAUGAACGAUUAAGAACAGAAGAUGAAUUAUCAAAAUAUAAGGAAAUUAUUAAUCGCCAAAAAGCUGAAAUUCAGAAUUUAUUGGACAAGGUGAAAACUGCAGAUCAGCUACAGGAGCAGCUUCAAAGAGGUAAGCAAGAAAUUGAAAAUUUGAAAGAAGAAGUGGAAAGUCUUAAUUCUUUGAUUAAUGACCUACAAAAAGACAUCGAAGGCAGUAGGAAAAGAGAAUCUGAGCUGCUGCUGUUUACAGAAAGGCUCACUAGUAAGAAUGCACAGCUUCAGUCUGAAUCCAAUUCUUUGCAGUCACAAUUUGAUAAAGUUUCCUGUAGUGAAAGUCAGUUACAAAGCCAGUGUGAACAAAUGAAACAGACAAAUAUUAAUUUGGAAAGUAGGUUGUUGAAAGAGGAAGAACUGCGAAAAGAGGAAGUCCAAACUCUGCAAGCUGAACUCGCUUGUAGACAAACAGAAGUUAAAGCAUUGAGUACCCAGGUAGAAGAAUUAAAAGAUGAGUUAGUAACUCAGAGACGUAAACAUGCCUCUAGUAUCAAGGAUCUCACCAAACAACUUCAGCAAGGCUACCGGCAUCUAGGGUGCAGAUACCCGAGAUGCGUCCUCUGACUUGGAAAUCGUUGCGACUUAACUCUUCACCUGGGUUUCAAGAAACAGACCCCAGAAAGUUAUAAAUUACCCAGACAUAACAAUUGACUGCUGAACUGGAUUCCAGAUUUCUUUCUUUUAAAAAGUCAUACAGUCAUUGGGUGUCUGUGCUAUAUGCUUGGGAUACAAAAAUAAAUAAGACACGUAUUUCAACCUCCUAUUCUCUACUAUUUCUCACGGCUUUAUUUGUGUUAAAAUAGGGUGAAAUAUAGUAAUAAGCUAAAAGGGACUUAGCAUUUACUUAAUACAAAUAUAUUCAGAUAUUUGCCAUAGAGUUUAGUUUGUUUUUAUAGAUGUAAUUGAAGGGAAAUUUGGAAGAAAUUUCUGGUACUGUAAGGAACUUCUAAAUCUUUCAAUACUUUAAAAAGUUAACUCCACUGUAAUUAAGUGAUGCCAGUGUCAGUUAUAAUGUUGUUUCUGUAUAUUUUGUACUUGACUUUUACAUUUCCAAAUGACAUUUUAUAUGAAUGACAUAGCCCUCUGCCUAAAGUAUGUAUUCAAGAACUUUCUCUUGUCUAUGCCAUUUUUGCCUCAGUGAUUUUAGCAAUUAAAGUCAGAGAUGGUAGGAGCAAAUGGUCCUGAUAAUUGUGACGAAUAAUCUUCUUUUUCCUAUAGCACGAAGAAAAUUAGAUCAGGUUGAGAGUGGAAGCUAUGACAAAGAAGUCAGCAGCAUGGGAAGUCGUUCUAGUUCAUCAGAAUAAUUCAAAGUUAUAUUUUACGAGAAGAAUCAGGCACACUUUCUUCAGAGGCAUCUGAUUUUAACAAAGUUCAUUUAAGUAGACGGGGUGGCAUCAUGGCAUCUUUAUAUACAUCCCAUCCAGCUGACAAUGGAUUAACAUUGGAGCUCUCUUUGGAAAUCAACCGAAAAUUACAGGCUGUUUUGGAGGAUACGUUACUAAAAAAUAUUACUUUGAAGGAAAAUCUACAAACACUUGGAACAGAAAUAGAACGUCUUAUUAAACACCAGCAUGAACUAGAACAGAGGACAAAGAAAACCUAAAACAAGCCUCUUGCUCAGUAAAGAGACAAAAGCCACACAGGAGUAGGUGCCACUGACCUCUAUUGUUGGAGACUUUGUUCCACUUUUUGUUUCAGCCAGUAAAAAUAUUGUUUUGCUUCAUCUGUACACAAAAAAAUACCCUUUUACAAUAUGAAUGCAUUGCUGUAUAUACUGUAAGACUGAAAGCUUUGAUGAAAUUUGUUUUUGUAUGGUGCAAUAUGACAGCCUGUCAUUGAAUCUAAACAACUUAAUUUGCUUGUAUUCAUAAGAAGUGUUGAACAUUACAAGGGCUUUUAUAAAAAACCCUUUGUUCAUAUUUCUUCCCUUUAAAAUAUGUAAUGUCAAAAAUGACUCACCUUUUAAAAAUUAUGCAUGAAAACAGGUGGUAAACAUUCAGUAAUACGCUAUUUCUCCAACAUCAAGACAACUAAAACAAAUGAUAAAAAUGUUUAUUUUUACACUCCAGCAUAUCGGGUGAGUUUUAGGGAUGUGUAUGAAUAUUUAAAUCUUUUAAUUUCAGUUUUAAUGAAAGCUGAACUUAAUAGGAAAGCUAGCUCUUGGUAACUAGCAAUGAUCAGGCAUUGUUUGCCUCUGUCAGGUUUUCUUAUCUGUUUUAGGUACAUUUUUUCAGAUUCUGAUUGUUUGAGUUAAUGGUUGAAUUUUUAAAGUUUUUAGUUACUUAAAAUAUGAUUUUAAAUUACAUAUUAAUUUAGAAAAUUCCUGUGUUUACUUAUAUUUUAAAUUGUGAAAUGGAUCCAAUCAUUAGAACAGAGAGAAUAGUUCUUUGAAACUGAAAUACUUUAGUUUUACUGACCUUGUGUAAAGAUAAUAUGAAGAACCAGCUUCCAAAAGAAACCAGCAUAUGGCACUAUAAACUAUUUCAUUUGAGCACCAUUCUUUACCAUGGAUAUAUUAAUUAUGUAUUAUAGUGGAGUGAUCAUACAGUUCCCCCAAAUGUGAUGUUUCAGUGUAUUUAUUUAAAACAUAAAGUAGACCAGGUGCAGUAGCUCACGCCUGUAAUCCCAGCACUUUGGGAAGCCAAGGCAGGAGGAUUACCUGAGGCCAGGAGUUUAAGACCAGCCUUGGCAACAUAGCGAGACCCCCAUCUCUACAAAGAAAUUUUAAAAGAUUAUCCAGGCAUGGUGGUGCAUGCCUAUGGUUCCAGCUACUCGGGAGGCUGAAGCGGUAGAAUCACUUGAGCACAGGAGGUCAAGGCUGCAGGUGAGCCAUGAUCGUGUCACUGCACUCCAGCCUAGGCAACAGAGCAAGACCCUGUCUCUUAAAACAAAAAACCUCACACAUACCUAAAAUAAGUAUAUAUCUGUAACCAAAGGAACUUAAUUUUAGAGCCAAAUUUUUCUAUCUUGUUGGAUUUUUUACAGUGUUUAAGAUAGACACUUAAGUGUUGCCGUAGUAUCAAUAUUUCUGUCAUUGAAUUUUUUCUCACCCCUUAUUAUUUCUCACUUACAAUUUCUGAGCAUGAUUUUUCAUAAUUCAUUAUCUUCAGAUCAUUACUAUAAUAAGAUACCGUGGCUCUUAUGCAGAUAUUGCAGCAAGCCUUGUUUGGUUUGGAUUUUUGCAUCCCUUUUUCUCCCAUUAAGGGAAUUAAGUUUUGGGAUGAUGGAUUAAAAGCCUGUAAAGAAUUGUUUGGGCUCUAAAAGUUGGGCUCAUGGUGGCAAUAUCCUUUUAAUGUGUUUUAACAUUUUUUAAUCAACAUCGUUUAAAAAUAAUUUACUAAGGAUUAGAUUAUUUAAUGAAUGUCUUUUUUUCUAUAUAUUGAAUUAGAUGUUAUCCCAAAAAAAAUAUCUUUUCACUUCAAAAUGAAAAUAUAUGUUCAAAGAUGUUUUAUUUUUAGAAUAGUUAUAAAAAGUAUUAGUCUUAACAUAAUGUGUCUUGUUCUUUUUACCAAUAAUAAUUUAUCAAAAUAAGAGGGAAAGUGCAAUCAAAUCUGAAUUAUUUUACUAUUUGUUUCUAGACACACUACUUAACACUCCUAAAGACUACUUUGAGUAGGCAACAUAACUAAAUUUUUCUAGUUUCUUAUGAUACAGGUUCAUAAACUACAAUAUUUGGAUUUUUUUCCCCAAGGCACAAAAUGUAUAAUGGAGACCAAAUAGUGAUCUGAUCCAUAGUAUCCUAUGCCUAUACACUUUAAAAUGUAUAUACAUUUUAGACAAAAAUGCACACUCCAGUAUUAAUAUUUGUGCUACCAUCUACUUGGAGAAGUUUAAUGAGAAAAUUUUAGAAGAAAAGUAUUACAAACAAUAUUUUGACUCUAUUACCUGUUUUGCCUUAUACAUUUUAGAAACUGGAAAUUUUUUAAAGAAAAUGCUUUAGUUUUCUUCUGUUCUUCACUGUCUACAGUGUGCUUUUGUAUAUGGAUCAGGACUGAGCAAAGUAAUUACAUGUAUCAGAGAUACUUAUCUCUAUACUAAUUCACAGACAGCUCCUGAUGUAAGGAUUUAGAGGGCCUUCUGCCCUCUGAAUAUAUGGUGAGGAGAAUGGGGUAUCUGGAAAAGGAAAAUGAUCUGGAUAAAUCUGAGACCUGGGGGGAAGUUUGUUUUAUAUGUUCAUUAUUGGUUGUUACAUAUCAAGGCUGUUUUGGUUAUGUAUCAAUAUUGUGGUUUAUUUGAGCUGGAAGUGAUUUUUUCUGUGUAUGUAUAUGUAUACACUUCAAUAGGUUUUAAUUUUGAAGUGAAUAUUUGCCAUGACUCCAUUUUCCCCAUACCACUUCAGACUUUAGCCUGUUUAGUUUUAAGGACUGAAAAUGGUAGGUUUGGGCAGAAGAAUGAAUUUGAACUUUGAUGGGGUUUUUUUGUUUUUACUUUCUAUCUUCAUAACCAUUUAAAGCGAUUUAGCUUGAAAUUAAAUUUUAUCAGGCUACCAACAUGUUAUUUAUUUAUUUAAUAAACACAUUUAUUGAAAACCUAUACUAUUGUAUUGGCACCAUACAGGGUAUUGUAUUUAUACUAGUGAGCAGACCAGGGCAUUUCCAUCCUCAUGGAGUUCAUGGUCUAAUGAAAAUAGCUGGGGCCGGGUGUGGUGGCUCACCCCUGUAAUCCCAGCACUUUGGGAGGCUGAGGUGGGAGGAUUGUUUGAGCCCAGGAGUUUGAGACCAGCCAGGGCAACAUGGCAAAACCCCAUGUGUACAAAAGAUUAAAAAAUUAGCCAGAUGCAGUGGCACAUGGCUGGGGUCCCAGCUACCCAGGAGGCUGAGUUGGGAGGAUCAUCUGAGCCUGGGAGGUUGAAGCUUGCAGUGAGCUAUGAUUGCCACUGUACUCUAUACUCCAGCCUGGGUGACAGAGUGAAACCCUGUCUCAAAAAAAAAAGAGGAAAGAAAAUAGCUAGGAGACAAUCAGAGCAGAUCUUGGGCUUCUGUGGCUCAUCUCAGCCCUUUAUAACUGGCCUGAGAAGAGGGUUUAUCUACUUGUGCAAGUGGCCCAGAAAUCUCACUCGUACAUGAGGCUUUGGAACAUCCUUGCAAAGGUACGCUGAAAGCAAAUUGCUGUUUUCCUGGUGGUUCUGCACGUUUCCUAACUUUUAUCAUAGUUUGAUUUUCAUUAUUUAAGAAAAAAUAAAAAAUCCAAAGACCAUAAGAUGGCAUUAGAUUUUUUACCAUUAAAUUAUUAAUGCCUAUUUGGUGCUCAUAAAGAUUAAUCAUGUCACGCAUGUUUCCAAUCUUUCUUUUGCAGUAUAUUAUUUUCUAAAAAUUGUUACAUGCAAAUUUAAACCAAGAUUUAUCAGUAAAAGAAAAAAAUAGAAUCCUUAAUAAUGUAAAUGUUGUUAUAUAUGCUACCCUGGUGAAAAUAUUUUUAUAAAUCAUGUUGUCAUUUAUGCUUUAUGUAGCCUAUUUUUCAAUAACCUUUUUUUAAAAGCAAUUUUUUUUGACACCAAGAUUGUUGAUUUUUAAUUAACACCAGUUGGUGGCACUAGAAACCUGAAAUUUUUCAAAGAUGAACAAAGAAAAAUUGAAAAGGUAAUCUAAACAUGGAGAAUUUUUAGGAAAAUAAAUGAAAAAUAUAAUUGUAUAUUAGAGAUGUAUUUUUCUUCUGGAAUGGAAUUCUUUUUCUAAAAUGCAAAUCGCUAUCCAUUUUGACUGCAAUGAUGAAACUUGUUUAUCUUCCAGAGGACAUAUAUAUAUGUGUGUGUGUGUGUAUUGUACAGAUACCUUUAAUUUGAUUACACUGUUUCUUGUAAAUAUGUUUCUGUAUAAAAUGAAACUUUUCAAGAGGAUUCUAUGUAUAUAUUGUACUUAUUAAAUAGGUAAUGCCUAUUUACCAA